CAUUGUAAAGGAUCAUUCUACUCUUUAAACCAAGCCUGAAUUGUUUCUCAGAAGGUUCAGCUGGCAAAUUUUUAGCUCCCACAUAUCUAAUGCUUACACCAUUAAUGGUCAACCAGGUGAUCUCUACAAGUGUUCAAGCAAAGGUUAGUUCUAAUAUCAAAAUAUUUGAAGUUUACACAUAGUAUAAAGAUUAAUUUCCACCUAACAAUGUUAUGCUAGCAGUAAUCUAUGAUUUCAUAUGUUACCUGUUAGGACAUGUUUUCAUAGAUAUCAUGUUAAUGCAGAUACCACCAUAGUGCAUGUGGACGCUGAUGAAACGAACCUCCUUCGAGUUAUCAAUGCUGCACUCAAUCAAUAACUUUUCUUUACUGUGGCCAACCAUAAUCUUACUGUUGUUGGAGUAGAUGCCUCUUUUGUUAAACCUUUCACAACAUCAGUCUUUAUGCUCGGACUAGGUCAGACUACUGAUGUCCUGAUCAAAGCUGAUCAGCCACCAGCCAAAUAUACAUGGUAACAGUAGGAAGCUAGACAGUAACACCCAAAAUAGAGCCAAAACAAAUCAAUCUUGAUCAAGGACGUAGCAAAGAAUACCUUCGUAAUGGCAUGAAAGGAAAAAAUGAAGAACAGAUGCAAAUAAUUUUCUGUAUUUUUGAUUGAUGAAUU
rnacentral:lncRNA from 1 species